GGAAAGCACGGUAAGCGUUGACUUUGGAGUUGAGAUCUGCUUUUGUGUUCUCUCUUAACUACUUACCAGCUCUCCUUGUUCUAUGAGAAUAUCAGAGGCCAUGGCUAGGGUGGAGGCCUCUCUGUCCCUUCUGAGCAGCAGUGAGCUACCUGCAGAAGUCUCUGAUCCCAGGUUCGGACCCAAGCUUCCUACACCAGACCAGGUCAGACAUGCUGAUCUGACUACAGCAGCAAAGGCACUGCAGGCUACCCCUGGGAUGUGCAGGCUGAUAUCUCUUCUCCUGGACCCACCCAGUGGAUAUAGCUGGUGUUGACCAUGCAGAGACCCAAAAAUGGACACUUUCUUUCUCACAUAAUCCAGCCCACAGAAGAUUUGCCUGAAUCAGCAGUCUCUUGGCCAGUGAGAACAUGCUACAGAUCCUGGGAAGGAGAUUGAAGGAAAUUAAUAAAUGGCAGCUUCCUGCACUUUGCUUUCA
rnacentral:lncRNA from 12 species